UCCUGUGCUACAACCCCCACACCUCCAGUACAUAAAGUACAACACAACUGCAGUAGUACAACAGAUCCUUAUAACCAAAGACUUUGCUAAUUAUAAAGACAAGGCGUUGGAAAUUUCUCCGACUAUUGUGUACACCAGUACAGCUGUAUUUUGACGUCAUUGGUUAUUUUGGUUGUUUGAGAGUCGAACGCUCGACAUUAAAACCUUAGAUAUUUAACACAAUUGUGAAUGUUUUGUGCUAAAAUUUUUCUAAAAUUAAUGAUAUUAAUUUGUAUUUUAAAAUCUAUUUAAUCAUUUGUUGGAUAUGAGGAUCAUCUGGUGAAUGAUAGCUGAAUUUGUGAUGAAGUUACGCAUCUAUUUUGUAUCAAAAAUAGCCGAUAAUUAUUUGUGAAAAUUUUCAGAUGUCGUCAAAUAUUCUUUCUGAGGUACUAUGGAAUGGAAUUUUAGGCGAUGAAGAAAAGAGGGGACCAGAAAUGUCCAAUAUUAUAAACGGUCCGUCAGUGCCAAUCAAAGCUCCACCAUGUAUAAUACAGAGCUGCAAUCCAAGAGUAGGAGGAUCACGGUUUAGAUUUCCAGCAAAUCCCAAAAGAUAAAAAUUGUGGCUUAAGGCCCUUCAUUUAAAUCAAGAGUAUAUCACAGUAAAAGAUCCAAGAGUAUGUGAAAAACAUUUCAAACCCUCUGAUUUUAAAAGUAAUUUAUAGUAUAAUAAAUAUUACGACGUUAA